AUUGAACGCUGGCGGCAGGCCUAACACAUGCAAGUCGAGCGGAUGAAGGGAGCUUGCUCCUGGAUUCAGCGGCGGACGGGUGAGUAAUGCCUAGGAAUCUGCCUUGUAGUGGGGGAUAACGUCCGGAAACGGGCGCUAAUACCGCAUACGUCCUGAGGGUGAAAGUGGGGGAUCUUCGGACCUCACGCUAUCAGAUGAGCCUAGGUCGGAUUAGCUAGUUGGUGGGGUAAAGGCCUACCAAGGCGACGAUCCGUAACUGGUCUGAGAGGAUGAUCAGUCACACUGGAACUGAGACACGGUCCAGACUCCUACGGGAGGCAGCAGUGGGGAAUAUUGGACAAUGGGCGAAAGCCUGAUCCAGCCAUGCCGCGUGUGUGAAGAAGGUCUUCGGAUUGUAAAGCACUUUAAGUUGGGAGGAAGGGCAGUAAGUUAAUACCUUGCUGUUUUGACGUUACCAACAGAAUAAGCACCGGCUAACUUCGUG
rnacentral:rRNA from 1 species